rnacentral:tRNA from 1 species
AUCGCUAUAGCUCAAUGGUAGAGCACGCGGCAGUUAUCAGCCGCGGGGUAUAGGUUCGAUUCCUGUUAGCGAUU